UACGAGGGGGGCAAGCGUUGUUCGGAAUUAUUGGGCGUAAAGGGUGCGUAGGCGGUUUGGUAAGUCUUGUGUGAAAUCUACAGGCUCAACUUGUAGUCUGCACGAGAAACUGCCGGGCUUGAGUGUGGGAGAGGUGAGUGGAAUUCCUGGUGUAGCGGUGAAAUGCGUAGAUAUCAGGAGGAACACCUGUGGCGAAAGCGGCUCACUGGACCAUAACUGACGCUGAUGCACGAAAGCUAGGGGAGCAAACAGG
rnacentral:rRNA from 1 species